CUAAUAAUACCCUUCUUCUGCUAUAUUCUUUACAAUGCCAACUCCCGUUUCCAGAUCCCAGUCGCUGCGCUCGGUAUUGUGGGGCUAUGUACCUAGUCCCUGCCGCCUUCAGUUGACGAGCAACCUACGCCUAGCAAUACGCUUGCCGCAACCACUUCUCAUCCUUUAAUGCUAUCAACUUCAUCCCGUGUAAGCUAAGUUAUGCACAAACUAUUUUCUUAACAUAACAUACAUCUAAACUUUUCUACCAUAUUAGCUUUUUUCGCUUUCAACCAUUUAUUCGUUAUUCCUAGUAUAAUUUGCUUUCUCAUUUUUAUCUCACAAGGAUAGAUAAUAUUUUUAUUUAAUCUUAGUGAGAUCGAACUUCUAAAUAAGGAUGUCAAGUAGUUGUGGAGGUAGUCUACCACACUAGCUAGCUAGCAAAGACCUCACAGUCCAGAGUAGGGGAUGCUUUUCUUCUUUUAUCUUUGCUUUUAUCCUUUUUUUGUGUUUUGACUGAAGAAUGUACUGUAUUAAAUGACGGGAUGAACUAAUCUAACUUUAUUGGUGCGAAUAAAGUCUUUAAGGAAUUAAGCGUCCCGCUUUGUUAAUGCAGAUAUAAUUAGCAGAAUUUCUUAAAGAAUUUACAAAGCCACUAAAAUUUGAGUUUUAACAAUUAACUCGAAUUUCUACAAAAGCAUAUAUUUGUGAGUUGUAGAAAAUAAGUAAAAGAGAAAGAAAUGAAAAUGUAAAGAAGUCCUUUGUUUAAGAGAUGAUAUGGGUAUUUAUAAUACUUCUAGAGGGCCGGUAGAAUUAACAAAUUCAUCUCUUCAUAAAUAGGAACAUUUUACAACCAAUAGUCACCUUUUUGAAUUUAAAUCUUUUUUGUUAAAAAUAUUUUUCCUCAAAUUAAUUUAAAAAUGGGUAUUAAUUAAUUAAUAAAAUAAUAGGUGACUAUAAUAUUAAUUCCAGGCUAUUCAAUAUGCAAUCUUGUUUAUUAGUAAUACAGUUAAAUUUUAAUAUUUCUCCAAAACAUCUAUUAAAAUAUUUAAAUUAUAUAAGACAAAAAAGUACUUUUAAACACUUCUUCCUUUUUUUAUUUUCUAAUAAAGUACAAACCAAACUCUUUUCAAACACUAACUAAUCUAACAUGCAUAUCAGCGAGGAAGUAAGGGAAUUAGAAGAACAAUUUUGUUUUCUUCGUUUUAGUGCCCCAGGUAGCAGUUAUAUUGGAUUUUACGUUGAUUAUACGUGCCAUUGUAUACGUUUGAGAAGAGUCAGUGAACUUCAUUCUCUUUAUGCUAUUUCUGCUCACAGAAGAUUAGAACAAUACAGUUGAAUGAGAAAACCAUUCUGUUCUUGAAUAAUAGACAUUAACCUGACGCAAAUUAUAGCUAGGCCUAUAGCAGUCAGGGUCAUUUGGUAGGAUACAUUAGAUAAAAUAGUCUCGCAUUAACUUUUAUAGCCACACAAAUAUUAUAGCCAUACAAAACUUUUAUCUCUUAAUAUGUCAGGACCAUAUUUUUAAAAGUUUUAUUUUUAUUUUAAAAUUUAUGUUUAGUCAAAUUAUCUAUUUAAAUUGAAACCGAGGGAAUACGGAGGAAGACUUUUGGAAUCAAAAUCAAUGGCAUAAAGUAAAAAGUUUCGUGCAAGAAAAGGAAGUCGAAAGGGGCAAGUAGAUCGCUUCGUGUCAUGGAGUCAAUAAUCAUCAAUUAAAGGUAUGCCUUAGAAUUUACAGGCAGCGGUCCCGUGGAAAAUGGUACAACUCCUACCUUUCUGGUCAAAUUGCUUGUAUUUUCUCAAAAUAUGAUGUUCCCAUCACCAAAAUGAUAACAUCAUGUCUUCCUUUGACCUCCUAUGUGUCCUUGUACACUUUUAAAAUAAUAUGGCAUUAUUCGAAAACUAAUUAAGUAAUUUUGGUAGCAAUAAAUGAGAUUAGAGGCGGAUUUACAGUAUAAAAUAUGGUUCACGUGAACCUAUAAUCUUCGGGUUUAUAUUGGUAAAAAUCUGACCAUGCGACCAUGACGGCAAUAAUCCCACCCGAAUCAUCUCACGAAAAAGAUGGAGCUUGAUUCCGACUUGUCAUCAUUCUAGGACAUGCAACGGGUCUACGGUCCCACCACGACAGAGGAACCCCUCAUCAACUCAGCCAUGACGAAUGGUGAUAAGCUAGUGGAGCUUUCGACUAUAAAUAUAAGGAAAUAGAACUUUGAAAGGGGGUCUUCUUCCUCUCCAUUGCUAAGAACCCCAAAAAGGGAUAAAUAUACUCCAUGAAUAGAACCUUGACCCUAUGGGCAAGGAAAAUUCAGUUUAUGAUUAUCUGUGAUCGGGGCAAUUUGAUUGUAAUGACCUGAACAUCUUCAAGGAGAGACAUGCAAAGUUUCUAUAAUCAAUAAAGGCUCUAAGCAUACCAUUUUUUUAUCCCACAUUUUCUAUAUUUCAAUUCUGUCUUCUAAACCAGUAUUAAUUAUGAUUGACUAUGAUUUACCCUUGAGUUCUUAUGAUUGAUUUACUCGGAAAGUAUUCGAUAUCUUUUGAGUCAAACAAUUUGGCGCCAUCUGUGGGGAUUCCCUAGUGUAAAUACCUAGUUCUUCCUCGAUUAAAGCCAAGGAAACACCAGAAAGAAAAUCCAACUCGAGUAAGAGUCGGGGACCGCAAAUCGGGAAAAGAAGAAUCGGAUGCGUCAGCCGGAGCUAAAAUUUUCUGCCCUAUUGAUCUCGAACAACCAAAACAAAGAGAGAAGCGAUGCAAAGCAUCUCCCCUCCGGGCAGAAGUACGAAGCAUUGCUCCCCAUCCCCCACACCGCGUCAGGUCAGAAACCGGCGUAGAGGUGUUCCAAACGGGGAAUCAAAAAUCACCCUGAGGCAAUUCGAACGCUGCAGUCUGGAAAACAACCAUAGCACAUGUACGACAGAAGACCACAGGUCAAAAUGAAGUCUCGGCGUUUUAACGCCUGUGGCAUCGAACAGUCGAUGUAUACAACGGAAAGGCUAAGUGCAUUCGCCAUUGAAGUAGAUGGCUUGACCUCGUUCAAACUAUAAGGCUAAGCGCCUUCGCUAUCAAAAUUGGCAGUUCGACCUCGUUCGAAUUGACUAAGGCUAAGAGCCUUUGCCAUCAAAAUCGACAAUUCAACUUUGUUGGAAGUGGGACUCAGGUUAAGUGCCUUUGCCAUCGAAGUAGAUAGUUCAUCCUCGUUCGAACUAGACGGAUAAGCGCAUUCGCCAUCAAAAUCGAAAGUUUGACUUCGUUCGAACUGACUAAGGCUAAGUUCAUUCGCCUUCAAAUCGGCAAUACGACCCCGUUCUAAUUGGGACUGAGGCUAAGCGCCUUCGCCAUCAAAAUCGGCAGUUCAACCUCGUUCGAAAUGACUAAGGCUAAGUGCCUUCGCCAUCAAAAUAGACAGUUCGACUUCGUUCGAAGUGGGACUCAGGCUAAGUGCCUUCGCCAUUAAAGUAGAUAGUUCGACCUCAUUCGAACUAUAAGACUAAGUGCCUUUACCAUCAAAAUGGAGAGUUCGACCUGACUAUGGCUAAGUACCUUCGCUAUCAAAAUUGACAGUUCGACCCCGUUCGAACUGGGACUCAGGCUAAGCGCCUUUGCCAUCAAAAUCGGCAGUUCGACCUCGUUCGAACUGACUAAGGCUAAGUGCCUUCACCAUCAAAAUCGACAGUUCGACCUCGUUCGAACGGGGACUCAUGCUAAGUGCCUUCGCCAUCGAACUAGAUUGUUCGACCUCGUUUGAACUAUAAGACUAAGCACAUUCGCCAUCGAAAUUGGCAUUUUGUCCUCGUUCGAACAGGCUAAGGCUAAGUGCCUUUUCCAUCAAAAUCGAUAGUUCGACUUCGUUUGAACUGGGACUCUGGCUAAAUGCAUUUGUCAUCGAAAUAGAUAGUUCUACCUCGUUCGAACUAUAAGGAUAAGCGCCUUUGCCAUCAAAAUCGAUAGUUCGGCCUUGUUCGAAUUGAGUAAGGCUAAGUGCCUUCGCCAUUAAAAUUGACAGUUCAAUCCCGUUCGAACUGUAGAGCCUUCUCCAUUAAAAUCGGCAAUCGAGCUCGUUCGAACUGACGAAGGCUAAGUGCCUUGGCCUACAAAAUUGACAGUUCGACCUCAUUCGAACUAACUAAGGCUAAGUACCUUCGCCAUCAAAAUCGACUGUUCGACUUCAUUCGAACUGGGGCUCAAGUUAAGUGCCUUCGCCAUCCAAGUAGAUAGUUCGACCUUAUUCGAACUAUAAGGCUAAGUGCCUUCUCCAUCAAAAUUGAUAGUUUGACCCCAUUCAAACUGGGACUUAGGCUAAGUACCUUCGUUAUCGAAGUAGAUAGUUCGACCUUGUUCGAACUAUAAGGCUAAGUGCCUUCACCAUCAAAGAAGAUAUUUUGACCAUGUUCGAACUGGGACUAAGUCAAAGUGCCUCCGCCAUCAAAAUUGACAGCUAUACCUCGUUUGAACCAAGUCUUAAGGCUAUGUGCAUUUCCAUCUAAGUGGACAGUCCGACCUCGUUCGAACUGGGGCACAAGAUACAUGCCUUCGCCUCCAAAUUAAGGUGUUUGACUUCAUUCGAACUAUACGUUGACCCCGAUGGAACUCGAGACGGGAUGUGAGCACAUGAUUUUUGCCCUAUAUUUGAAUUAUUUCCA
rnacentral:lncRNA from 1 species